rnacentral:lncRNA from 1 species
CCCCUCCUACAAAAUGAAGGGAAUGGACCGCAAGUAGAGCAAAGUGGUUUCUAAAACUUCAACAAGCUCGGCAGGGAACUUUCCGAGAGCAGGGCUUACAAAGGGAACUCAAAUUAGAAGGCUUUCAAAGUCACUUGGCCUAUUGAUCUUGACCAGCCUUGACUGGUUCCACAGCAAAUGUAACUUGCCUGUAAACUAUUCCCUCAGCUGGCACGACAUUGAGAAGAGAAUU